UAAAACAACAGGCAGGAAUGACUUUUGGAAGAAGGAAAAGCAAAGGGCACAUGUACAGAGGAUGGGUAUUCUGUGCAGGGAGGUAGAAAGUUUUCCAGCCUCCUCCUCCUCCUCCUCCCCCCCCCCUUGGCUGGAAGCCCUGGUGUGUGAAUGCCGGGGCCUGGCUGAGGAGGGCCGCCGGUCCCUCUGCAGGGCUGGGAGCACUAAUAGCAAGCGGGAGGAUUAGCCAUAUGCCACUUAAUUCCUGUUAAUCAGGAUUGAGAAGAGCUUGUGCUUGUGACCAGCUCCAGUGGUGGACAUGAUCCUGACUCGUCUUCACGAAGCCUGCCUGGCCCUGCUCUGGCCACACUAUGUGCCAAGCAGACCCUUAGUGAAUGAAACAGGAUGUCCCUCUUUUGCCCAUGUCAGCUUAGAUGUCAUUUCUCCCAGAUGGUAGAGAAGUAACAAGACAUUGACAAGCAACCUCUGGCUCUCCCCACGGGCAUCACGAAUUAACCACAGCCUCAGAAAAUCCUUCUCAAUACAGUGUUCCAGGCAGAAGUGCUACCGCCGUCCUUAACCCGGAC